CACAAAUCCCGGAAUGGGGAUUGCCGGGCACGUUAUCUUUUUGAGUGCUGUCACCUUGCAGAGGGUUGCUGUGUGCCCAUGGAGCAUCAUUUUGUCGUGGAUGGAGUCCCUGCUGCAGCAGCAACCAGGACAUUCCUUCUGUCAGUGCCUGGCAGGAAUGCUGGAGGAGGCUGUGGGCAUCAUGCAGAAGCUGAACUGAGAGCCAGGAGUGGUUCUAUAGGAAGGCAUGGGGCAGGUCCUGCAGGAGCAUCUUCCUGGCUGCUGCCAGGCACAGGCAGCACAGUGAGUGAGCCUGCUGCCGGCACCGUGUGAGAAGGAGGAGUGAUGCUGGGCAGUGGCACAUCUGGUGACAAAGCCACAAGAGGGCUGCCUUUUGUGGGAGGUAGGGAGCUCCACUACAGGGCUGUGCGUGGUGGCCAGGAGGAACCAAGGGGCGACUGCCUGUGGAUUUGGGGCAGCCCUGAAACUGUGAUGCCAGGUAGAGGCAAGCUUGGGGUCAACAGAAGGAUCUCUGCCUCCAUCUCUUGCUUCUGGAGGUGGUUCUUUGCUGGGCAACGUCUCCAGCUGUGGGUGCCAGUGAAGCUGAGAGUCCAGGAUACCCCUGGGACCUGCACUGUCCCCUCCACAGCCCGACAGCCUC
rnacentral:lncRNA from 1 species